rnacentral:rRNA from 1 species
AUUGAACGCUGGCGGCAGGCUUAACACAUGCAAGUCGAACGAGUGGCGGACGGGUGAGUAAUGUAUGGGAAACUGCCUGAUGGAGGGGGAUAACUACUGGAAACGGUAGCUAAUACCGCCUACCAUCGGAUGUGCCCAGAUGGGAUUAGCUAGUAGGUGGGGUAAAGGCUCACCAAGGCGACGAUCCCUAGCUGGUCUGAGAGGAUGACCAGCCACACUGGAAUUGAGAAACGGUCCAGACUCCUACGGGAGGCAGCAUUGGGGAUUUUUUCUUUUUUUUUUUUUUUUUUUUUUUUUUUUGCCGCGUGUAUGAUGAAGGCCUUCGGGUUGUAAAGUACUUUCAGCGGGGAGGCGUUACCCGCAGAAGAAGCACCGGCUAACUCCGUGCCAGCAGCCGCGGUAAUAC